rnacentral:lncRNA from 1 species
CCUCUCCAGGUACACAUAUUUCCUGCUGCUCAAUGGCUUAGACUGGGAUUUGCAAGGAAGUACGAAGUCCAAGACCUUUGCCUUUCUUUUAGAAGAAGGCACCAGCUGGUUCUCCAAUGUUGAAGGUCUUCUCCAGAGAUACCUUAAGGUAUGGGGAGAUUACAACUUGCUCAAGGUCUCAUAGCUAGAAGAUGUCAGAGUGAUAACUCAAACCAUGUCACGUGACUCUAAGCCCAAAGCGGCCUCUAGAAGGUUGUUUGAUCUUCUGAUGGAAGCACAAAUCACCAUUCCAACAUGAAAGAUGGAGAAACUUAAGUCUAGAAAGAUUUAAAGGACUUGUCAAAGGCAAUGAAACAAGUGGAACUCUGAAAGCCACAUGUUGAGAUGGCCCCAUUACAGGAUGGAGAGCACCUGAACCCCCAAGUUAUGGACAAGAAGAAGACAGUUGCCUUGGAAAAUCAUCUGACCCACAUUGGACUUUACGUGAGGGGGAAAUAAACCUUUAUUAUGUUAAGCUACACAAUAAUAAAUAACAA